rnacentral:lncRNA from 1 species
CCUCUCUUGUGACCACGGCUCUAUGGAAAGUUUUAUUGUUCUUGUCUCCUGCAUCCAGCCAAUGCAACUUCGAUUUUUGUUUGAGAUAUUUCUCUUCUAGAGUUGCUACACGUUCCCACCUGUUAUAAGCCUCGAUCUCUUCUUUCAUGGAAUUUGGUGAAGGAUGAUUCAGAUUUAGUUCUUGCUUCUUACAGAGGGUGUCGUAGGCUUCUUUAGUCUUCUUAACCAGAUUACCAAGUCGCUCUUUCGCCAGGUUGCGAAGAAGAGGCUUUAAGCUCUUUAGCUUUUU